rnacentral:rRNA from 1 species
UACGUAGGGGCCUAGCGUUGUCCGGAUUUAUUGGGCGUAAAGAGCUCGUAGGCGGUUCGGCAAGUCGGAUGUGAAAUCUCCACGCUCAACGUGGAGGGGCCAUUCGAAACUGCCGUGACUCGAGUCCGGUAGGGGAGUGUGGAAUUCCCGGUGUAGCGGUGAAAUGCGUAGAGAUCCGGAAGAACACCGGUGGCGAAGGCGGCCCGCUGGGCAGAGACUGACGCUGAGGCGCGACAGCGUGGGGAGCAAACGAG